AUUGAACGCUGGCGGCCGGCCUAACACAUGCAAGUCGAACGAGUGGCGGACGGGUGAGUAAUGUCUGGGAAACUGCCUGAUGGAGGGGGAUAACUGCUGGAAACGGUAGCUACUACCGCAUACCAUCAAAUGUGCCCAGAUGGGAUUAGCUUGUUGGUGGGGGAACGGAUCACCAGGGCGACGAUCCCUAGCUGGUCUGAGAGGUGGACCAGCCACACGGGAACUGGGAAACGGCCCAGACUCCUACGGGAGGCAGCAGUGGGGAAUAUUGCACAAUGGGCGAAAGCCUGAUGCAGCCAGGCGGGGUGUAGGAAGAAGGCCUUGGGGUUGUAAAGUACUUUCAGCGGGGAGGCGUUACCCGCAGAAGAAGCACCGGCUAACUCCGUGCCAGCCGCCGCGGUAAUAC
rnacentral:rRNA from 1 species